CAGUAGCCGCGGGAAUACGUAGGGUGCGAGCGUUAAUCGGAAUUACUGGGCGUAAAGCGUGCGCAGGCGGUUUGUUAAGACAGAUGUGAAAUCCCCGGGCUUAACCUGGGAACUGCAUUUGUGACUGGCCGGCUAGAGUAUGGCAGAGGGAGGUGGAAUUCCACGUGUAGCAGUGAAAUGCGUAGAUAUGUGGAGGAACACCGAUGGCGAAGGCAGCCUCCUGGGCCAAUACUGACGCUCAUGCACGAAAGCGUGGGGAGCAAACAGGAUUAGAUACCCCGGUAGUACCUGUCUCUUAUAC
rnacentral:rRNA from 1 species